GAUGAAGAACGCAGCGAAAUGCGAUAAGCAAUGUGAAUUGCAGAAUUCAGUGAAUCAUCGAAUCUUUGAACGCACAUUGCGCCCGCUAGUAUUCUGGCGGGCAUGCCUGUCCGAGCGUCAUUUCAACCCUCAAGCCCCCGGGCUUGGUGUUGGGGAUCGGCGAGCCUCCGCGCCCGCCGUCCCCUAAAUCUAGUGGCGGUCUCGCUGUAGCUUCCUCUGCGUAGUAGCACACCUCGCACUGGGAAACAGCGCGGCCACGCCGUUAAACCCCCAACUUCUGAACGUUUGACCUCGGAUCAGGUAGGAAUACCCGCUGAACUUAAGCAUAUCAAUAAGCGGAGGA
rnacentral:misc_RNA from 1 species